CCUACGGGAGGCAGCAGUGAGGAAUAUUGGACAAUGGUCGCAAGACUGAUCCAGCCAUGCCGCGUGCAGGAAGACUGCCCUAUGGGUUGUAAACUGCUUUUAUAUGGGAAGAAUAAGGGCUACGUGUAGCCUGAUGACGGUACCAUAUGAAUAAGCAUCGGCUAACUCCGUGCCAGCAGCCGCGGUAAU
rnacentral:rRNA from 2 species